rnacentral:rRNA from 1 species
AUUGAACGCUGGCGGCAGGCCUAACACAUGCAAGUCGAACGGUAACAGGAAGCAGCUUGCUGCUUUGCUGACGAGUGGCGGCCGGGUGAGUAAUGUCUGGGAAACUGCCUGAUGGAGGGGGAUAACUACUGGAAACGGUAGCUAGUACCGCAUAACGUCGCAAGACCAAAGAGGGGGACCUUCGGGCCUCUUGCCAUCGGAUGUGCCCAGAUGGGAUUAGCUAGUAGGUGGGGUAACGGCUCACCUAGGCGACGAUCCCUAGCUGGUCUGAGAGGAUGACCAGCCACACUGGAACUGAGACACGGUCCAGACUCCUACGGGAGGCAGCAGUGGGGAAUAUUGCACAAUGGGCGCAAGCCUGAUGCAGCCAUGCCGCGUGUAUGAAGAAGGCCUUCGGGUUGUAAAGUACUUUCAGCGGGGAGGAAGGGAGUAAAGUUAAUACCUUUGCUCAUUGACGUUACCCGCAGAAGAAGCACCGGCUAACUCCGUG